GCCGGCGUGGCGAAACUGGCAGACGCACGGGACUUAAAAUCCCGAGACUCCCCAAGGGUCGUGCGGGUUCGAUCCCCGCCCCCGGCA
rnacentral:tRNA from 1 species